rnacentral:lncRNA from 1 species
GCCCACUGCACCACCACGAUACUGACGAAGAAGGCUGUGUGGCAGGUGAACUCCACGAUUUUCCUCUGCUCAUAGGCCAUGCUGAUCAGCCGCUCAUUCACAAGUUUGUCUGUUUUGGGAUUUCUGGGCUGUCUCUUCAUGAUGUCACUCUCAGCCUGCUCAUAAGCCAGGGAGAUGGCAGGAACCUGGGAAGGGGUGGGGAGAAGGAAUUUAGUUACUAAAAAUAAGGAAGCUAAUAUUGUGAACCUUUUGUUAUAAAAUUCUUGCCCUCCCAUUUAAAAAUCUUUUAGGUGAAGUAUACAAAAAUAAAGAUUCCCAUCUGAUAAACAAAUGUUAACUGCUGCCUUGAAGAGUGGUAAUACUGAUUCUGUGAAGCCGGGAUUGGGACACACACUGGAUACUGGUCCUGAGAAUUUCUUUUCCCAACGCCAGCCUCAUGGAUGCUGGGAGCAUAGUGCCAGUGAAUGAAGACACAGCUCACACCUCACUACUAUCGAUCUGUGACUGUUGUGACACUCACCAUGUCAGUGCCCAAGUCAAUGCAGAGGAUGGUGACAGUCCCCAGUGGUAGUGGAAUGUUUGCAAUAAUAAAUAUCAGGAACGGGGUGAUCUCGGGAAUGUUACUGGUUAAGGUAUAAGCAAUGGAUU